GGCCGCGGGGAGGGCGCCAUUUUGGCCCUUCUGGGCGUGCCUUUCUCGGCUGGAGCGUGGGAGGCGCCGAGGAUCCUGGUUUGGCGGCGCUGGAUGUGUGCGAGAUUUUACGUGUUUGAUAAAGAGGAAGCGGCAGGUAGAGGGAGAAGCGGACUCCCCGCUGAGCAGGGAGCCGGGGGCGGGACUCCAUCCCAGGACCCCGGGAUCGUGACCUGAGCUGAAGGCCGAUGUUUGACCCACCGAGCCACCAGGUGCUCCAGGAGUCUCCUAUCUAUAAAGAACAAAAGCAGGGGAAGCAGCCAGCAGAAGGAGAGGGAGAAGCAGACUCCCCGCUGAGCAAGGAGCCCUAGGAUCAUGACCCUGAGCUGAAGGCAGACACUUAACCUACUGAGCCACCCAGGCACCCCGAGUCAAGACUUUAAAAAUCUUUAUGUAUAUUGGUAGUGGCAAUAAGAAUAUCCUAGAUCCUAGUGAAAUAAAAUGGUGGCCGAUAAUAAAACCUCUGGGUAUCUUUGAAUUGAACCAUUGGUUUUUUUCAUCUCCAAAAAUAUACUGGCCUCUGAUAAAUUUAUGUAAUUUAAAUGGCUUUUUUGGAGAGUACUUAAGCUUACUAUAAUCGAUAACCUAUUUCUUAUUCCCUGGAAACCAGAGUGU